rnacentral:rRNA from 1 species
UACAGAGGGGGCAAGCGUUGUUCGGAAUUACUGGGCGUAAAGGGUUCGUAGGUGGCCAACUCAGUCAGACGUGAAAUCCCUCAGCUUAACUGGGGAACUGCGUCUGAUACUGGAUGGCUCGAGUGCAGGAGAGGAACGCGGAAUUCCAGGUGUAGCGGUGAAAUGCGUAGAUAUCUGGAGGAACACCGGUGGCGAAGGCGGCGUUCUGGACUGUAACUGACACUGAGGAACGAAAGCCAGGGGAGCAAACGGG